GAUGAACGCUGGCGGCGUGCCUAAUACAUGCAAGUCGAGCGAAUGGACGAGAAGCUUGCUUCUCUGAUGUUAGCGGCGGACGGGUGAGUAACACGUGGAUAACCUACCUAUAAGACUGGGAUAACUUCGGGAAACCGUAGCUAAUACCGGAUAAUAUUUUGAACCGCAUGGUUCAAAAGUGAAAGACGGUCUUGCUGUCACUUAUAGAUGGAUCCGCGCUGCAUUAGCUAGUUGGUAAGGUAACGGCUUACCAAGGCAACGAUGCAUAGCCGACCUGAGAGGGUGAUCGGCCACACUGGAACCGAGACACGGUCCAGACUCCUACGGGAGGCAGCAGUAGGGAAUCUUCCGCAAAGGGCGAAAGCCUGACGGAGCAACGCCGCGUGAGUGAUGAAGGUCUUCGGAUCGUAAAACUCUGUUAUUAGGGAAGAACAUAUGUGUAAGUAACUGUGCACAUCUUGACGGUACCUAAUCAGAAAGCCACGGCUAACUACGUG
rnacentral:rRNA from 1 species